CAGCAAGUUGGAGGCUGUGAUCCAGGGGCGGUAGCGUG
rfam:Gallaecimonas xiamenensis 3-C-1 contig9, whole genome shotgun sequence.